rnacentral:tRNA from 1 species
ACGGGGAUAGCUCAGUUGGAGAGUGUCAGACUGAAGAUUUGAAGGUCGCGCGUUCGAUCCUUGUUCAUCGCA